rnacentral:misc_RNA from 1 species
GAUCCGCUUGAGUUGAAGCUUUACUGGAGAUUUGAUAUGAUUGCUGGCUUUAAUUUGUUUUCUUAGGUCUAGCACUAGUCAAACUGUAUUCUGUGUAGUUACAUUGGUUGAAGUUAACAAGUUUCUCCACAGUUAACUAAUUUAUCUGUCCUGAAAUAAACAUCUACGUAAUUUUCUUCAUUAUUGUGUAAGAAAUUUAUGAGUUUGGAGCACUGAUAAAUUCUUUUAAAUCUGUGUAAGUUUUAUGUGCCUCUCCUGCUGUGAGUAUUCGUUGUAUACUUGAGCAAAGAGAAAAGAUUUGAGCUCAGAUUAACAAAAUAUUGUCUCUUUGGUUAUCAAGCAUGAUAAAGUUGAGGAUGAGACUCAUGUA